CCUACGGGAGGCUGCAGUGGGGAAUAUUGGACAAUGGGCGAAAGCCUGAUCCAGCCAUGCCGCGUGUGUGAAGAAGGCCUUCGGGUUGUAAAGCACUUUCAGUGGGGAAGAAAGCCUUGGGGCUAAUACCCUCGAGGAAGGACAUCACCCACAGAAGAAGCACCGGCUAACUCCGUGCCAGCAGCCGCGGUAAUACGGAGGGUGUGAGCGUUAAUCGGAAUUACUGGGCGUAAAGCGCGCGUAGGCGGUCUGAUAAGCCGGUUGUGAAAGCCCCGGGCUCAACCUGGGAACGGCAUCCGGAACUGUCAGGCUAGAGUGCAGGAGAGGAAGGUAGAAUUCCCGGUGUAGCGGUGAAAUGCGUAGAGAUCGGGAGGAAUACCAGUGGCGAAGGCGGCCUUCUGGACUGACACUGACGCUGAGGUGCGAAAGCGUGGGUAGCAAACAGGAUUAGAUACCCGGGUAGUC
rnacentral:rRNA from 1 species